rnacentral:rRNA from 1 species
CCUACGGGAGGCAGCAGUGGGGGAUAUUGCACAAUGGGGGAAACCCUGAUGCAGCGACGCCGCGUGAGUGAAGAAGUAUUUCGGUAUGUAAAGCUCUAUCAGCAGGGAAGAAAAUGACAGUACCUGACCAACAAGCCCCGGCUAAAUACGUGCCAGCAACCGCGGGAAUACGUAGGGCGCAAGCGUUAUCCGGAUUGACUGGGGGGAAAGGGAGCGUAGACGGUUAUGCAAGUCUGGAGUGAAAGCCCGGGAGCCAACCCCGGGACUGCUUUGGAAACUGUGUAACUGGAGUACAGGAGGGGCAGGCGGAAUUCCAGGUGUAGCGGUGAAAUGCGUAGAUAUCAGGAGGAACACCGGCGGCGAAGGCGGCGUGCUGGACUGAAACUGACGUUGAGGCUCGAAAGCGUGGGGAGCAAACAGGAUUAGAUACCCCUGUAGUC